CAACCUCAACUCAUAUGGGACUACCCCCUGAAUUUAAGCAUAUUAAUUAGGGGAGGAAAAGAAACUAACAAGGAUUUUCUUAGUAGCGGCGAGCGAAAAGAAAUCAGUUCAGCACUAAGUCACUUUGUCUAUAUGGCAAAUGUGAGAUGCAGUGUACGGAACAUCAACAUUCUAGUAUGAGAAGUUAACGAUUUAAGUCCUUCUUAAAUGAGGCCAUUUACCCAUAGAGGGUGCCAGGCCCGUAUAACGUUAAUGAUUACUAGAUGGUGUUUCCAAAGAGUCGUGUUGCUUGAUAGUGCAGCACUAAGUGGGUGGUAAACUCCAUCUAAAACUAAAUAUAACCAUGAGACCGAUAGUAAACAAGUACCGUGAGGGAAAGUUGAAAAGAACUCUGAAUAGAGAGUUAAAUAGUACGUGAAACUGCUUAGAGGUUAAGCCCGAUGAACCUGAAUAUCCGUUAUGGAAAAUUCAUCAUUAGAAUUGUAAUAUUUUAAACAAUAUUAUAAUAAUAGUGUGCAUUUUUUCCAUAUAAGGACAUUGUAAUCUAUUAGCAUAAUAUUUAUCAUAAAAUAUGUCUGAUUGCUAUUUGAAUAUAUGCUGGCAUUUACAUAAAUAAAGAAUAAUUUGAUAGUGCUAUAAUUAAUGAUACAUGCGUAUUUCGAAUAAUAUGCAUAUACAUGAAUUGGUAUA
rnacentral:ncRNA from 1 species